rnacentral:tRNA from 1 species
CAAGAAAUAGUUUAAUAAAAUAAUAGUUUUGGAGACUAUAGAUAGGUAAUUUAUCUUUUUUUGA